UGAAAUCGAGAGCAUUUUACACAAGCCCGUGCACAGCAUGAAAUCUUGCAGGUGUCAGCUAAGUCGCUUCCUGUCUGGAGCUACACGGAGAUGUGUAAGCAGACAGAGGUAAAUUCAAUAGUGAGCUGACCACAGAGACAAUCGCUCGUUCCCUCUUGUGUCCAAGCGCUCUGAUCCCCCCGUCCUGAACCGUUUUUCUGUGGUAACUGAAAGAUUAUCACCCCGCUGACUGCCAUGCCUUCUGAGAUAAGGUAUCAUUCUGCAGCACAGGAAAGACAGAGCAGGUAGUGCAUUUGCUCCUUAGGUCCCAGAGCUAGCACUCAGCAGGAAGCCAUAAUCUACUGCAUGAGCUAGAGCAGCGAUGGCUGAAAUUGAUCCAUCAGCCCAUAAGCUGUGGCACCUAAGAGCAGGCACAAGGUCCAUGCUGCCAUCCCUGCUAAUCCCUAGUAGAGAGGCAGGAUGAAUGCAGGAAGGUCUUUAGCUGCUGGACCUUGAAUUCAGAGGCCGUAAACCAAAGCCCUGAAUCUGAGGAAAACACUGAGGUUUAAUUCACUGUCAGUUGGAAUUAAGCCUAUAGAAGCCAGCACAGAAAGUCCUGAUGUGAUGUCCUUGUCACGUAAAAAAUAUCUUGAAAUAACAAAAGUAGUCAAUCAGCGCGGAAGUUCGCAGGCUCAGCAUUGCUUUAACAUAUGGCAAGAUGGAGCACACAUCUGAGGGAGGGAAGGGUUGUACCUGGUAUUUUCCACAGCCCACAGAGUGCAGCUGUACCCAUUUACCGCCUUUGGUUCACUAACACCUGGGGAGAGGACAGAAGCACAAUGACCGUGUGCCUCAGGAAUAGGACAGCAAAGACUUCCACCCGCAGGUCAGCCUGGAUACUGCAGGUGAGGGGUGUCCUGUGCUUUGUGGCAGAACCAGCCAGAGCAGCAGAAAGUCCAUCUCUAUAUUAUCUAAUUCCCGGAACUAGCACCUCUCUCCUAAAAGCAAGGCAGUAGCAUUGACCUGUCUAGCCAGAAAGGAGUGCUGAGAGAUGGCAGUGAUCUGGGGGAGUGAAACCGAGGAGAAAAAGGAGCCAAUGUCACUGUGGUUGAACAGCAUCAUUCUACACGAGCCUUCAGGUGAAUCCUGGGACCCAGUUCAGAUCAUCAGUAUUUGCCAUCUGGGCCCUUCCACCUUUAGUUCACCAGCUGAAACCAUCCCAACAGCGUGAUUAACCUUCCAGCUGUAAGUGUUCCUGUGUGAAGGGGCUGAUGUUGGAAACAUUACACUGAAUGCACUGCAAGUGGAUUAAACUAAGAAUGAGAGAAGGGCUUCCUUCAGCUACAGACGGUGUUUUUACACUUGGAGUUACUGUGGAAGAGCUGUUCCUUCUUUAAGCUUACAUCUUACCAUGCUCUGGAAUAACAUUUGUGUGUACACUAGCCAUCAGACCCAUUCAUGGAACCCUGUAUUUGAAAACCGUCUGCUCCUAAAUCAUGUAAUUAUUAUAAUAUGAACUAAUUUUCAGGCUCAUCAAAGGGGCUGAAGAUUACGUAAGCAUUGGAGGCUGUACCAGUUAUCCCCAGGAGACACAUCCUUCUCAGACUCAGUGCAUCACCCUGUCUUCAGGACAUCUGUUCCCAACCACCCAUCUCCUAAAAAUCUCCCUGUCAUCUUUGUCUUUGUGUCUGUCACCACUAGAGGUGACGUUUAGACUCGCACUGCUCUGUCAUGUUCAGACCUUCAGCAGCUCCGUGUCCUCCCUGUCUGCCUUUUGGUCCUUCACCACAAGUGUCAAGCUGACCACACCUUGUGACACUGCACAACUCAGUGUCUUCCCAGUCCCUGUUUUCCUCCUCUUUUCCUCUCUUUGAAGGGGAUAGCCCUUCACCUGGCUGCAUGCAUAUGUCCCUAUCAGUACCGUGU